UUUUACCUUGGUGCAGUUAGACAGG
rnacentral:piRNA from 2 species